UUUUUUUUUCUUUUUUUUUUUUUUUUUUUGGUAAAUCAAGCUCCAAGGAUGUUCAUUCCUGUUUCCUUUGGGAUUCUUUUUAACUUCAGAAAUGUACUGGUUUAUUCAAGAAAGUUUUAUUUGGCUUUAAAAAAAAAUUAUUAAGAUCCACGAGGUGCGUGCUAAUUCUCUUGCAGGCUCUCUCUCUACACACACACACACACACACACACACACACACAGUUUUAGCUUGACACGCGAACGGGGAAGAUUAAAGACAAAAAAAAACACCUACAAGAUUUGUUUAGAACUCUAAUUAGAGCAAGCCUCAGUAAAUACGUUUUGCAUAUGCUUUUUAAAAACCAAAACCACUUUUAACUUAGUUAUUAGGCAAAUAACUGGUUCGUCCUAACUUUUAAAUGUACUAAGCUUUCCUUUGCAACACUCUUUCUCCAUUCCAAAAUUCGUGAAACCUUACCUGUGAAGCCCAUAUGUGAACAUUAAAAAGGAAAACAAAAAACUUUAGUGACCAAAAGGAAGGUGAGGCAGAGUAAAUCACUCUCAAAACAUUCUACUGCCUUCUCUUUAUGUAGAUACCUUUUAUCUCCAUAUUUGCGGAAUUUUCAUUACAUAACCCCCUCAUUCUUAAAAGAGAGCUAGUCAAUCUUUUAACAUUCUUUGGUCCAAGUAUAACUACCACCCAUUUUUUAAUCUGAAAUCUCAAAUUGUUGAAACUUCUCUGUAUCCAAAGCAUUUAAAUUAUGUGGCCCAGGGCGGGCGCGGUGGCUCACACCUGUAAUUCCAACACUUUGGGAGGCCGAGGCGGGUGGAUCACCUGAGGUCAGCAGUUCGAGACCAGUCUGGACAACAUAGUGAAACCCUGUGUCUAUUAAAAAUACAAAAAUUAGCUGGGCGUGGUGGUGGGCUCCUGUAAUCCCAGCUACUCGGGAGGCUGAGGCAGGAGAAUCGCUUGAAUCUGGGAGACAAAAGUUGCAGUGAGCCGAGAUCGGGCAUUGCACUCUAGCCUGGGCGAUGGAGCAAGACUCAAAACAAACAAAACAAAACAAAACAACACAACAAUAUUAUGUGGCCUGGAGUGAGAGCAGGUGCCUUUGUAGUCUAGGUUAACUACAAAUGCCCACAAAAUAUACUGGGGGUUUUGUUGUUGUCUUUUAUUUUAAAUAAACAUCAAGGAUAGGUAAAAGGUGAAUUGUACAGAAUGUAAUUCAGGUUUUAAAAAAUACAUAUUAAGCCUCAGAAAUGUUAUAAAUUGUUUUAAAAUCAUUCGUAAUACAUAUAGCAAUAGGAUCCUGCUGAUAAACAGAAUGCUCAGCUGCUCUGCCUAUGGAGUAGCUGUUCUCAAACGGCUCAAACCCAUCUCUCCCAGAUAUUUGGUGACUUCUCAAUAAAACUCUCCCUAGAUUAAAAUUAUUUAAGUGAAAUUAUUGUAUGGUUUCUAUAUCCCCUCAGCAUUAAUAAAAACAUAAUGGUAGUACACCUUUCUUGCAUAUAUAAGGAUACUGUAACUAGACUAUGUUGCAUAAAUUAAAUCUGUUGAGGCUGGCAUACAAU
ensembl:lncRNA